GGUUAAGCUAAUAAGAGCACACGGAGGAUGCCUAGGCGCUAGGAGCCGAAGAAGGACGUGGCGAACGACGAUAUUGCCUCGGGGAGCCGUAAGCAGGCUUUGAUCCGGGGAUGUCCGAAUGGGGAAACCCAGCUGAGGUAAUACUCAGUUACUCACAUCUGAAUACAUAGGAUGUGCAGAGGCAUACGAGGAGAACUGAAACAUCUAAGUACCCUCAGGAGAAGAAAACAACAGUGAUUCCGUCAGUAGCGGCGAGCGAAAGCGGAAUAGCCCAAACCAGAGGGCUUGCCCUCUGGGGUUGUGGGACGUCAAUAUGCGAAAAGUUGGUUAGGCGAAGCAGUCUGGAAAGGCUCACCAUAGGGGGUAAAAGUCCUGUAGCCAAAAAUCAACGUAUCGCUAGACGGAUCCCGAGUACCGCGAGACACGUGAAACCUCGUGGGAAGCAGGCAGGACCAUCUGCCAAGGCUAAAUACUCCCUAGCGACCGAUAGUGAAGCAGUACCGUGAGGGAAAGGUGAAAAGAACCGCGGGAGCGGAGUGAAAUAGAACCUGAAACCGUGUGCUUACAAGAAGUCAGAGCCCGUUAACGGGUGAUGGCGUGCCUUUUGUAGAAUGAACCGGCGAGUUACGUUCCCGUGCAAGGUUAAGGUGAAGAGCCGAAGCCGCAGCGAAAGCGAGUCUGAAUAGGGCGACUAUAGUACGUGGGCGUAGACCCGAAACCGUGUGAUCUACCCCUGUCCAGGGUGAAGGUGCGGUAACACGCACUGGAGGCCCGAACCCACGAAUGUUGAAAAAUUCGGGGAUGAGGUGGGGGUAGCGGAGAAAUUCCAAUCGAACUCGGAGAUAGCUGGUUCUCCCCGAAAUAGCUUUAGGGCUAGCCUCGGGAGAUGAGUAGUGGAGGUAAAGCACUGAUUGGGUGCGGGGCCCGCCAAGGGUUACCAAGUCCAGUCAAACUCUGAAUGCCACAUACUUUAUCCCGGGAGUCAGACAGUGAGUGCUAAGAUCCAUUGUCAAGAGGGAAACAGCCCAGACCAUCAGCUAAGGUCCCCAAGUGUGUGUUAAGUGGGAAAGGAUGUGGAGUUGCGCAGACAACCAGGAUGUUGGCUUAGAAGCAGCCACCAUUGAAAGAGUGCGUAAUAGCUCACUGGUCGAGUGACUCUGCGCCGAAAAUGUAACGGGGCUAAACACGCCACCGAAGCUAUGGC
rnacentral:rRNA from 1 species